rnacentral:lncRNA from 1 species
AUGACAAACAUAAAGAGAAAAACACAAGGUACCUGCUAUAUGUUUUUCAGGCCUUUUGGAAAACAUGGAGUUGCUCCUUUAGGUACAUAAGUGGGAAUCUACAAGAAAGGUGAUAUUGUAGACAUCAAGGGAAUAGAUAUUGUUCAAAACGGAAUGCCCUGCAAGAGUUGCCAUCCAAAACUGGAAGAGUCUACAAUGUUCCCCAGCAUGCUGCUGGCAAUGUUGUCAGCAAACAAGGUAAGGGCAAGGUUCUUGCCAAGCGAAUUAAUAUACAUGUUCAGCAUUUUAAGCACUUGAAGAGCCAAGAUAGCAUCCUGAAACAUGUGAAAGAAAAUAAUCAGAAAAAGAAGGAAGCCGAAGACAAAGAGAAAGGUACCUGGGUUCAAGGGAAGCCCCAGCCUGCUUCGAGAAGCACACUUUGUGAGACCCAGUGGAAAGUAGCCUGAGCUGCUGGAGCCCAUUCCGUACGAAUUCACAGCAG